UUGUGAACUGUUGGAUCUUAUUUCUUUAAUUCCAGCCAUUGGUAGAGAAAUCCUUCUCUCUCCCCGUUACCUCCUAUUACCCGUUAACGUGAAAUAUGUGAGAGCCCUAAAAUUAUUUUGGCCCCUCCUCCCUCCUGCCUCUCUCUCCUCUCCACGUCGCUCACCUCUGUCCACGGCUCCUCCACCUCCACUUCUCUUUCCUCUGCACAGUCGACGACGGAAACCUCCAUAGCUCUUCCACCUCCAUAGCCCCUAAGCAAACGACGAAAAGCCCUCUCUCAUCCUUAACAGAUGAUCACAAUGAAAAGCCCUCUCCUCCAUUGUGCUAGGGAAAAGAACCAUCUCACAAGGAGUUCAUUCUACCAUAAUGGAGUGAUGUGGUGUGUCCUUUUAGAAAAUGCUAUGUAGUAAGUAUCAGACUGGUUGUUUCAUGACCAUCGUAUUUGUGAAUCUGUGAAAUUUGUUUGACCUUUGUUUAGUUGUUUUGAUGGAUUAAUGGAUAGUAGAUACUAUCAUACUAAUUCUUGUAUCACUUGUUUAAUGCAUCGGUGGUGGCUGUUUUGCAAGUAACAUGAAAAUGGACAACCAUUUUUUGGUGCGUUAUUGACUCAAGACAUUUUUGGCGUUGGAGUUUUUUGAUGGAUCGUUCUAUUUUGUGAUGCUACUGAUAUAUAUGUUUAGAGAUUGGAAGCAAAUACAUUGUAUACUCUCCGAGAUGAAUGUGAUAGAAGGCUCUUUUUGUAUACUCUCCAAGCAAAUACAUUGUAUACUCUUCAUAUCGUAUACUCUCCAAGAUGAAUGUGAUAGAAGGCUCUUUUUGUUUGAUCAAAUGUUGAUGUGCCUUGGUGGCUCUUGUUGUUUGAUCAAUAGUGACCUUGUUUGGUAGUUAUUAAA